rnacentral:rRNA from 1 species
UACGUAGGGGGCGAGCGUUAUCCAGAAUUACUGGGCGUAAAGCGCGCGUAGGCGGCUUUGCAAGUCGGGUGUGAAAUCCCCAGGCUUAACCUGGGAACUGCAUUCGAGACUGCAUUGCUAGAGUAUGGGAGAGGGAAGUGGAAUUUCCGGUGUAGCGGUGAAAUGCGUAGAUAUCGGAAGGAACAUCAGUGGCGAAAGCGACUUCCUGGACCAAUACUGACGCUCAUGUGCGAAAGCGUGGGGAGCAAACAGG